CAGCGGGCCUCCCAGGUAGUCAAGCCAGCCCCACCAUUGAUCAGGACUCUUUCAAUUGUGAGAAACCCACGUUGAAUCUCUUUAAGUGCAAAAGGUCACUGCUCAGCAGUAAACGCACACAGAACAGGGGAACCAGCAGGCUGGGUUCAAGGUACUUUUCUUUCUCUCUUUCUCUCUCUCUCCACUCCUCCCUUUCUUUUCUUAUUUCUACUUUUCUCGACGUGAUGGUCUCAUUUCCUACUGUAGCUAGAGAAGGGGGCUUCUGGUGAUUCUAGCUUACAUCAGCUUAGAACUUGGGAUCUCAGAGAAUGGAAGACCACCUUCCCUGACAGUUCUGGCGGCAAAAUUCUGGGUACGACACUGGCCUGGCUUAGGUCAUAUGACCUUCCCAGAGCCAAUCAGUCCAUGGCCUGAGGAAUAGGGUUCUCUGAUUGGCCAGGCCUGUGUCACGUGACCUUGGCAGGCUUUGCCCCACCUUUAGAGGUUCUACUCGGAAUACGCCCCCCAGGAAAGAACGUUGGUUGCCAGAAGACAAGGCGGAAGAGAGACAGAGAGAGAGAGAGAGAGAGAGUCGCUAACCUCAGAACCCCCGCAACACCCGAGAGAGAGAGAGAGAGAGAGAGAGAGAGAGUCGCUAACCUCAGAACCCCCGCAACACCCAAGCGUGAAGACUGGUUCACAUCGUGGAUUCUCCACCUAGCUGUUACCCACAACGAGUGAUGGCCGAAGAGCCGUGGAUGGGGAGAACACCAGCUCACGUUUGGCCAGUACCAGUGUGCCGGGCACUAUUCUAAGCACUUCCACGUGUUAACUCACUCAUUUCUCAUGACAACCCUAAGAGCUGAGGACAAUUAUUAGGUGAGAAAAGUGAGGCCCCAAAAGGUAAGCCACUUGCCUAAGGCCCUCCAGCUAAGAAGUGGGGGCCCAGGGGUGUGGUCCCAGAACCUAUGCCCUCCCCACUGAAGGAUACUUUGGACAAGGGGACCUUGGUGGUGGCCAGUGCGCCCACACACAGGAGAGCUAGAGAGUACACACGUGUACAGGAGUACAUUCCGGAGAGCCAGAGAAACCUGCCCCCACACGGUCAUAACCUCCAACCUGCCCAGAUUUUUCUUCAUCAGAAUAGCCCAGGAGCCUGGCUGGCGGUAUCUGUCUGGCUCUGCCCCAAGAGAGGAGGCGUGAUACGACACCCCAGCCCUCACCAGCUUGCCAGCCCCUCCCGCUCCAGCUAGUCUGGACUCCUCAGUCAGCUGGGGUUCUCCACCCUGGACGCCCUGAGCUCCUCCCUCAGCGACAGGUGCGGCAGGGGGCAGGAGACAGGAGGCCGUGGAGGCCCCAGUGACAAGAACAGAAACCAGAGCCCCAGGCCAGGACAGCACUGGACAGGAAUGGGGAGGAGACAGACAGAAGGAGACAGACAGAGGAGAAGACACACAGGAAGAGAGCAAAGGCAGAAUGUAGGAGACAGAGAUGGGGCUGCGUCCUCCCUCGCCCUUCCCACAGGCAACACAUCUCUCUCUUGUCUCGGGGCUGAAAGCAAGAAGGGGAGAGGGAAGACCUUGUAAAUGAAGCAGGUGAGAGUUCUGCAGCUACACGUCUCAGUUUCAAUUCUCCUCGAGUCCCUGAUGCAGACGAGCACCUCCGGAGGGGAAGUGAGUGAAGACAGGUGCCCAUGGGAGAUACCCCUCACCCAACCGCACUUUGGGCAACAGGCCCGAUGCUUAGAGGGCCCCAGAAACACCUUCCUGACAGGGCUCCAGAGACCAAAGCCCAUGGCCACUGAGCCCUGCAAAGUGGCAAAAGGAGAAGGCAGAGGGACACAUGCCAGACCCUGCCCAUGUCUCCCCAGGGAUCUGAAUUCUCUUCCCACCCCACAUCACACAAAACCCCCAUUCUCUCAGAAUAUCUGAUACCUCCCGUGGAACAGGAACUUGAGGUCUGGCUUUGUCCCCAACCAGCUGUGUGACCUUGGAUAACCUCUUCCCUUCCGAAGACCUCAGUCUGCCAUCUCCAUAGUGAGCGGCCCUUUGGGUGCUGGUGCUCUGCGGUCCUGGGACUCUGUUGGCCCUCACCAGCCUUCAAAGCCACUGCUGUUCUCAGAAGGAUGCUGGUCAGCCUCCCCCAGCUGUCCACCCUACCCGUCUCCCAGAAAGCCCCCCUAUCCUGUCCAAAGUCCCACCUCCUUCUAGCAAACCGUAGCUGGCCCAUGCCCUCCGGGCCUUGCAAGGAGCUGACCACCAUCCACAGAAAUAAGAGGACCCGACGUGAGACGGAAAGUGAGAGCGGCUGAUUCCCCCCUACUGGAGAACACAGCGGCACCAGGCCGGCCUGGCCUUUCGCCUGACGGCCCGCGUUUAAGACAGUGCGUAAUGCGGCCACAGCAUAGGCUUCCGCACCCCGACCCCCUAGAAUAGGGCUGAUUUGCAAAAGAGAGUAAGUGGAGGCCUAGAAUGGCAGGUCAGAAACCCCUGCCCAGAUGCCAAGAGACAGCCAUGAAGGCAGGGGGCCGGGUGGGGAGGGAGGAUGACCCGUGGGCACACUGGCCUCCUUCUCACGGAUGCCCCGAGGAGGGCGCUGGGAGCAAGGCGCGUCCCGUAACCGCAGCCUGCGCCUGGUGUCAGCCGCGUGGCGCUGCGCAACCCCCCCCCCCCCCCACCCGCCCGUCCCCGAAAACCAAAGGCGCCCCUUCCAGAGAAGAAAAAGGAGGGAGCCUCAUCAUUAAUAGCGCUGGCGGCAAGGUAAAGCCACCCGCCCGCUCCGGCGCACCCUCGCCCAUAAUUAUGCCAGCGAGGCUUUCAUCCCCACGCGCGCACGCCGAAAGUUUAUUGUUGUAUUUCGGCCUUUUGUUCAGUCUCCUGUGCCUUUUAUGCAAGGGGAAGGGUGCUGAGGGGUCAAAGCAUCCUCCCCCGGCUCCUCUCUCUGUCAGUCCUUUUAGAAAAACACCCAAAGCCAUAAUUUGUCUUAGAAUUUCUUUUGAAACAGCUACAAGAAAGACUCGCGACUGCUCUUUUCCCUCUGUUUCUGAUUCCAGCCAUCCCUUUAUCUGGCUUUCAUUAGAGCCUCGGCCGCGCCUCUUUUGUGGGAGAGACUUAUGGGAACCCAGGCAGUUUCCCAGCCGCUGUGAUGUUGCUAAAGAUUAAAAAGGAGCUUUGAAGCUGUACCAGUUCUCUCUGCGCCCCCUCGGUACAGGGCCUCAGAAAGACCCAAGCCAUCUGGCAAACCUGACAUAAAGACAAAAUAAAGUGAUUGAGACUGGC
rnacentral:lncRNA from 1 species